UACAGAGGGUGCUAGCGUUGUUCGGAAUCAUUGGGCGUAAAGGGCGUGUAGGCGGUUUGUUAAGUCAUGUGUGAAAUCCCUCGGCUCAACCGGGGAACGACGCAUGAAACUGGCAAGCUAGAGUACCAAAGAGGGGGGUGGAAUUCCCGGUGUAGCGGUGAAAUGCGUAGAUAUCAGGAGGAACACCGGUGGCGAAGGCGGUUCUCUGGGCAUGUCCUGACGCUGAGGAGCGAAAGUGUGGGGAGCGAACAGG
rnacentral:rRNA from 1 species